rnacentral:rRNA from 1 species
UCAAUAAGCGGAGGAAAAGAAACUAACAAGGAUUCCCCUAGUAACUGCGAGUGAAGCGGGAAAAGCUCAAAUUUAAAAUCUGAUAGUCUUUGGCUGUCCGAGUUGUAAUCUAGAGAAGUGCUGCCCGCGCUGGACCGUGUACAAGUCUCCUGGGAUGGAGCGUCAUAGAGGGUGAGAAUCCCGUCUCUGACACGGACUACCAGGGCUUUGUGGUACGCUCUCAAAGAGUCGAGUUGUUUGGGAAUGCAGCUCAAAAUGGGUGGUAAAUUCCAUCUAAAGCUAAAUAUUGGCGAGAGACCGAUAGCGAACAAGUACCGUGAGGGAAAGAUGAAAAGAACUUUGGAAAGAGAGUUAAACAGUACGUGAAAUUGCUGAAAGGGAAACGCUUGAAGUCAGUCGCGUUGGCCGGGAAUCAGCCUUGCUCUUUUGCAUGGUGUACUUCCUGGUUGAUGGGUCAGCAUCAAUUUUGACCGCUGGAAAAAGGCYUGAGGAAUGUGGCAGCUUCGGCUGUGUUAUAGCUUCUUGUCACAUACAGCGGUUGGGAUUGAGGAACUCAGCACGCCGCAAGGCCGGGUUUCGACCACGUUCGUGCUUAGGAUGCUGGCAUAAUGGCUUUAAGCGACCCGUCUUGAAACACGGACCAAGGAGUCUAACAUGCCUGCGAGUGUUUGGGUGGAAAACCCGAGCGCGUAAUGAAAGUGAAAGUUGAGAUCCCUGUCGUGGGGAGCAUCGACGCCCGGACCAGAACUUUUGGGACGGAUCCGCGGUAGAGCAUGUAUGUUGGGACCCGAAAGAUGGUGAACUAUGCCUGAAUAGGGUGAAGCCAGAGGAAACUCUGGUGGAGGCUCGUAGCGAUUCUGACGUGCAAAUCGAUCGUCAAAUUUGGGUAUAGGGGCGAAAGACUAAUCGAACCAUCUAGUAGCUGGUUCC